UUAAGAGAAAGAUUGGACAGAGAAGUGAAACAGAACGCACAAAGAUGCUUGACAUGACCAAGCCCCUGCUAUUUCAAUCCUGACUGUUCCAACCAACUUAGCAGUGAAUAAGAGAAAGGAUUUCCUGGCUCUUCCUCAAAGCCAAGAUGGGUGUCACAUUGCAGGUAUCCCAGGAGUCUUUGAAUCUUCGUCUUAGCUGACCCUUGUUCCAGACCCUAAUGUUGGUGUGGCAUAGCAUGCGGGAGACUGCUGAAUACUGAAGAGCUUGAUACAGGAAGGCUCCACAGGUAAGCUUGCAGUAAUUGCCCCAGUCACUUCCUCCUUUGAAAACACAUUCUACCCCUCUUCAGGCCAGCAUCUAUGUACAGGAUUCCCUUUGAGGAACAGGUAUUUGAGGAAGU